rnacentral:rRNA from 1 species
GGGUUGUGAGGUUAAGCGACCAAGCGUACACGGUGGAUGCCCUGGCAGUCAGAGGCGAUGAAGGACGUGCUAAUCUGCGAAAAGCGCCGGUAAGGUGAUAUGAACCGUUAUAACCGGCGAUGUCCGAAUGGGGAAACCCAGUGUGACUCGUCACACUAUCAUUAACUGAAUCCAUAGGUUAAUGAGGCGAACCGGGGGAACUGAAACAUCUAAGUACCCCGAGGAAAAGAAAUCAACCGAGAUUCCCCCAGUAGCGGCGAGCGAACGGGGAGGAGCCCAGAGCCUGAAUCAGUAUGUGUGUUAGUGGAAGCGUCUGGAAAGGCGCGCGAUACAGGGUGACAGCCCCGUACACAAAAGCGCAUGUGCUGUGAGCUCGAUGAGUAGGGCGGGACACGUGGUAUCCUGUCUGAAUAUGGGGGGACCAUCCUCCAAGGCUAAAUACUCCUGACUGACCGAUAGUGAACCAGUACCGUGAGGGAAAGGCGAAAAGAACCCCGGCGAGGGGAGUGAAAAAGAACCUGAAACCGUGUACGUACAAGCAGUGGGAGCCCCACCACUAAGCCAGUGGUGAACUCCACAUACGCAUCCUUUGCGGAAGAUACGAUUAACGGAGCGAAAGCGACGUUCAACCGCAAAAGAAGCAGAGGGGGCUUAGUGGUGGGGUGACUGCGUACCUUUUGUAUAAUGGGUCAGCGACUUAUAUUCUGUAGCAAGGUUAACCGUAUAGGGGAGCCGGAGGGAAACCGAGUCUUAACCGGGCGUUAAGUUGCAGGGUAUAGACCCGAAACCCGGUGAUCUAGCCAUGGGCAGGUUGAAGGUUGGGUAACACUAACUGGAGGACCGAACCGACUAAUGUUGAAAAAUUAGCGGAUGACCUGUGGCUGGGGGUGAAAGGCCAAUCAAACCGGGAGAUAGCUGGUUCUCCCCGAAAGCUAUUUAGGUAGCGCCUCGUGAACUCAUCUCCGGGGGUAGAGCACUGUUUCGGCCAGGGGGCCAUCCCGGCUUACCAACCCGAUGCAAACUGCGAAUACCGGAGAAUGUUAUCACGGGAGACACACGGCGGGUGCUAACGUCCGUCGUGAAGAGGGAAACAACCCAGACCGCCAGCUAAGGUCCCAAAGUCAUGGUUAAGUGGGAAACGAUGUGGGAAGGCCCAGACAGCCAGGAUGUUGGCUUAGAAGCAGCCAUCAUUUAAAGAAAGCGUAAUAGCUCACUGGUCGAGUCGGCCUGCGCGGAAGAUGUAACGGGGCUAAACCAUGCACCGAAGCUGCGGCAGCGAACGUAUCACUUAAAGCGAUUCAGCGGAUGACGAUUGACGGAGCGAAGCGACGUCAAAGCGUUUUACAACGUCGAGUCGGUUUAAGGAUACG